AGAGUUUUGAUCCUGGCGUCAGGAUGAACGCUAGCGACAGGCUUAACACAUGCAAGUCGAGGGGCAUCGGGGAGUAGCAAUACUCUGCCGGCGACCGGCGCACGGGUGAGUAACGCGUAUGGAACCUGCCUGUACAGGGGAAUAGCCCAUGGAAACGUGGAUUAAUGUCCCAUAUGACAUUCGGGAGGCAUCUUCGGGUGUAAAAUUUUCGGAGGUACAGGAUGGCCAUGCGUCCUAUUAGAUAGUUGGCGGGGUAACGGCCCACCAAGUCGAUGAUAGGUAGGGGUUCUGAGAGGAAGGUCCCCCACAUUGGAACUGAGACACGGUCCAAACUCCAACGGGAGGCAGCAGUGAGGAAUAUUGGUCAAUGGGCGCGAGCCUGAACCAGCCAAGUCGCGUGAGGGAAGACUGCCCUAUGGGUUGUAAACCUCUUUUAUUCGGGAAGAAUAAGCCUUACGAGUAGGGUGAUGCCUGUACCGAAUGAAUAAGCAUCGGCUAACUCCGUG
rnacentral:rRNA from 1 species